rnacentral:lncRNA from 1 species
CGACUCCGAAGGUAAUCGUCUGGACACAAGCAAAGCGCCCUGGGGCUGCGCUCCGACCUCAAAACCCCUCCCGAAAGAAGCCCCCGCCUUUUUUCCCAGCUCGCCCACCUCCCUGCCGGCCCCUCUCGGGCCGCGCCACUCCGGCAACUUCUGCAGCCAGCCCGCCCGCCGCCCGCGACCCCCUCCCGGCCCAGCGAGCCCUCCGCGCCCUCCCCCCCGCGGCGGCGGCCCCCGCGCCGCCCGCGCCUCCGCGCCGCCCGCGCGGGUCCUCGCCCCCUUCCCCCGAGGCCCCCGCCCGCGGCACCGCCCCCGCCGCACCCCACCCAGCCCGGGACCCCAGCCCACCCGGCCCCACCCGGGAAGGAGGGAGCCGCGGCCGCGCCGGGGCCCGCGAGCGCCAACACGGAGAGGGCUUUACCUCAGAGGCGCGGCCGCGAGCAGCGGGGUCGGUCCCGGGCGCGGGCGGCGCCCCCCGGUCCGUCAGUCAGCGGCGGCGGGGGCAGCGGCGGCGACGGCACAUCACACCCGCCGGGGCCGGAGGAGGAAAGCGAGCCGCGCAGGGAGGGAGCGAGCGAGAGAGCGAGGUAGGGGGGAAGGAACGAGCGAGGGAGGGAACGCCGCUCGGCUCGGACUCGGUCCCUGCACUACUGCCGGUGCCUCCUACCGCCGCCUCUGGCCGGAGAGUCGCCGCCCGAGUCGCUGCUGUCGCCACCGAUGCAGCCGGGAAUGAAUGCACAGCGGCGCCUCACUUAUCCGGAGGUCAAACAUCCUUCUGCCUCGGGCAUCCGGAUCGGCGCCGGACCCGGAAGUGAACACAUGGAAAAAAAAUAAAAAAGGAAAGCGUCUCUCUAGCGGCGGCUGCCCCGGAGCUGCCCGCAUCGACGAAAAGAGCCGAGUAGAGCCGAACAUUACACUGACGUGCUCGGAUUGGUCGGCUUGCUGACCGGAAGAAAGGCAGCACGCUGAUUGGCUGGCAAGGUGUGGACUUCCAGAUCACUCUGAAGCAGAUCCUGAAGAAUUUCACAUGCUCUCAGAUUGGGUGACGAUGACCAGAUUGGUGCUGCCUUUGUCUGGUUUUGGUAUCAGAGAAAUACUGGCCUCAUAAAAUAAGUUGAGAAUUGUCCUCUCCUCUUCUGUUAUCUGGAAGAGAUUGUGUAAAAUUGGUAUUAAUUCAUCUUUAAAAGAGUUGUACUUAGCAGGGAGAAGCAGGGAAAAACAAGUCUACACCAUCUUGUCCUGCUUGGAAGUGACUUUCACUUUUCACAGAUGCACAAGGACUCACUCAGUUCCAAAAGGUCUUGAAUUACUUGAAUUCUGUAUAAGCAGACAAGGAUUUAACAUGAAGAUGAGAAAGAAGAGGAGACAGAACCAUUCAUCAUUGACUUGAUCUCAACCUGAUACAGCACAAAUGGACAAAGAGGAAAAGCAAACCAACAACAUGAAACAGGGAACAAAGUUCUUUUCUUUGUAAUAGCUGCUGGCCAGCUUGUCUUUUCUUGAUAUUUACCUCUCUGCUUUAUGUUUUAUAUCUAACAUUGUGUUACAUGGAUUGCGAAAACUUUGUGAAACUUGG